GGGUUGGCAUGGGAAGAAUUAUCUCAUACCACAUUCUAUUUGUGAAGUGCAACCUUGCUGGUCCUAACUUGCUUGUGUGGAGUUUGCUUUCUAUGUUUCAAUAGGUUAUGGGCCCACACUCUCUUACCAAGUAAGUUGUUCUUGCAUUAUUUUCUUUGUUGCUUACUUUGGUGGUUGGGAUCUUAUGGUAGAGUGUUGCUAUUGUGUUGUUGAAGUCAUUGCUCCUGGAUUUGUGAGUAUAUGAGUUUUGUGCAAGACCUUGAUAGUGUCUUUGCUGAAGUAACACUAGUGUAUGAAAGUUUCAUGAGAUAGUGAGUCAUUUUGAGUGGAGUGACGUGAGGGAGACUUAUGAGAGCCAUAGAAUUACUUUACAAUUCAUUCUCCACCAUUUAGACGUGAUUUGGACUCAUAAUUUACAAAAAGUUGCAAAACAGCGAAUUCUGGGUUUGUGGUUCAGCGAUCUUUGAGUAGUGAUAUCUUCUCCAUUACAACUCCAAAUCAAGAGUUUUUUGGACCUACGUGUAGCUUGAGAUGGCAUCUUUUGAGGGUGAUAGCUUGAGAAUGGUUGAAAAGUUCAAAGGUGACAACUUUCACCACUGGAAGGCCAAAAUGGAGCUACUUUUGGCGUCAUUGGAUCUUUGGGAGAUUGUAUGUGAGGAGGAAGAGGCACCUGGGGUAGAGGCAAGCAUCAAGGAGCAUAAGGAGUUCAAAAGACGAGAAAAGAAGGCUUUUGGCAUAAUUGCCACCAAUUUAGAUGAGAGCAACUUUGCUCAUGUCAUUUCUUGCAAAGGGGCAGCAGAGGCAUGGAAGACUCUUUGCAACGUCUAUGAGAGUAGAAAUCUCUCCAAUGUACUAUGGUCAAGGCAAAAAUUCUUCACCGUGAAGAUGAAAGAAGGUGAAGAUCUCAUGGCUCAUGUAAAUAAGGUAAAAGCACUUGCAAACCAACUUGCUGUUAUUGACAAGCCUUUACCUGAAGAAGAUGUUGUGAUGACAUUGCUCUCAAGCCUUCCGGACUCCUAUUCUUCCCUCAUUGUGGCAUUGGAGUCAAUUUCAAGAAAAGAUCUUACUUUGGACUAUGUCACGGCAAGACUAGCCCAUGAAGUGACCAAAAGAAAGCAAAAGGAGUCUAUUGGAGAGCAAUCAGCACUAUUCACGAGACCAAGUUGUUGAAGGAAAGAAUUCAUUUAGUUGUUGCUAAUGGUCAAUAGAGUAUAUGAGUAAUGAGGGAUAUCCUACAAGGUUAGUUGCUGGUCUAUAGUGCCUUAGAAUACAAGGAGAGGGCUGGUCCUAAGAGAUAUCCCAUAUGGGUUGUAACACAUGGUACCUUGGUACUAGUAUAUAAGAAAAGGGUUGGCAUGGGAAGAAUAUCUCAUACCACAUUCUUUUUGUGAAGUGCAACCUUGCUGGUCCUAACUUGCUUGUGUGGAGUUUGCUUUCUAUGUUUCAAUAGGUUAUGGACCCACACUCUCUUACCAAGUAAGUUGUUCUUGCAUUAUUUCUUUGUUGCUUACUUUGGUGGUUGGGAUCUUAUGGUAGAGUGUUGCUAGUGUGUUGUUGAAGUCAUUGCUCCUGGAUUUGUGAGUAUAUGA
rnacentral:lncRNA from 1 species